GUAACCUGCCCAUAAGACUGGGAUAACUCCGGGAAACCGGGGCUAAUACCGGAUAACAUUUUGAACCGCAUGGUUCGAAAUUGAAAGGCGGCUUCGGCUGUCACUUAUGGAUGGACCCGCGUCGCAUUAGCUAGUUGGUGAGGUAACGGCUCACCAAGGCAACGAUGCGUAGCCGACCUGAGAGGGUGAUCGGCCACACUGGGACUGAGACACGGCCCAGACUCCUACGGGAGGCAGCAGUAGGGAAUCUU
rnacentral:rRNA from 1 species